rnacentral:lncRNA from 1 species
UACAUGGCGAACCUUCACAGGUAGCUUCUCUACCCGGAUAGCGAUAUCUUUCCACUCUUCAGCAGCCCAAAUUGGUUUUCCUCUACGCUGCCAGUUAGCUUCUUUCCACCUCUCCAGCCACCCCCACAGAGCAUUGGCUACCAUCCAUGAAUCAGUGUAGAGGUAGAGCUUUGGGCACUUCUCCCUUUCUGCAAUGUCUAGGGCCAGUUGAACAGCUUUGAGUUCAGCAAACUGGCUUGAUCCACCUUCUCCUUCAGUGGCCUCUGCAACCCGUCGUGUGGGACUCCAUACAGCUGCUUUCCACUUCCGAUUCAUCCCUACGAUGCGACAGGAACCAUCAGUGAAGAGAGCAUAGCGUGUUUCCUCUGCUGGCAGUUGGUUGUAUGGUGGAGCUUCUUCAGCCCAUGUCACUGGUUCUUCUUCUUCAUCUGCGACACCAAAACUUUCACCUUCGGGCCAAUUUGUAAUUACUUCCAAAAUCCCAGGGCGAUUCAGCUUACCAAUAUGGGCACGCUGCGUGAUGAGAGCAAUCCACUUGCUCCAUGUAGCACUGGUGGCAUGGUGGGUGGAGGGAACCUUUCCUCUGAACAUCCACCCCAGCACCGGUAGUCGGGGUGCCAGGAGGAGUUGUGCUUCUGUGCCAAUCACCUCUGAGAUGGCCUGGACUCCCUCGUAGGCGGCCAAGAUUUCCUUCUCUGUUGGGGUGUAGUUGGCUUUAGACCCUCUGUAGCUCCGACUCCAAAAUCCCAGUGGUCGGCCCCGAGUCUCAUCAGGCACCUUCUGCCAAAGGCUCCAGGACAGACCAUGGUUCCCGGCUGCAGAGUAGAGCACGUUCUUCACAUCUGGUCCUGUCCUGACUGGGCCAAGGGCUACUGCAUGAGCAAUUUCCUGCUUUAUCUGGGUGAAAGCUUGCUGCUGCUCAGGGCCCCAGCAGAAAUCAUUCUUCUUGCGGGUGACCAGGUAGAGGGGACUCACGAUCUGACUGUACUCAGGAAUGUGCAUUCUCCAAAAACCAAUGGCGCCUAAGAAAGCUUGUGUCUCUUUCUUGUUGGUUGGUGGGGACAUGGCUGUGAUCUUGUUGAUGACAUCUGUAGGAAUCUGACGCCGUCCAUCUUGCCACUUCACUCCCAAGAACUGGAUCUUUCGAGCAGGUCCCUUCACUUUACUCUUCUUGAUGGCAAAACCAGCUUCCAGGAGGAUUCGGAUGAUUUUCUCUCCUUUCUCAAACACUUCUGCUGCUGUGUUCCCCCACACAAUGAUAUCAUCAAUAUAUUGUAGAUGUUCUGGAGCCUCACCCUUUUCUAGUGCAGUCUGGAUCAGUCCAUGGCAGAUGGUAGGACUGUGCUUCCACCCCUGGGGCAGUCGGUUCCAGGUGUAGUGCACUCCCCUCCACGUAAAGGCAAACUGAGGCCUGCAUUCUGCUGCCAGAGGAAUGGAGAAAAAUGCAUUGGCAAUAUCAAUAAUGUACAUGGUACCAAGUCUGGAUUCCUAGUUGUUAUUUCAUCUGAGAAGAUAAUCUCUGCCACUGCCAUUUCUCUCAGACGCUGGAUCCCUUGUUCUAUAGUCUUCCACUGGGUUUGCUGCAUAUAAAGAUCAUCUGCACACAGGUAUCUUUGUGCUACACUUUCCAGAACCCGUGCCCAGAGGCUGUGAGGGUUAGCCCCCCUCAUCAUUCCUUGAUCAAUGACAGGAUCAUGUGACAGGGAUCCCAAAUGUCUUGCCUCAGUACCAUCCAGAAUUGUAGCCUCGCCUGCAGCAUCCCAAAGACGGACCAACCAACUAAUUACAGACUCAUCAGGUCGUCGGGUAUAAUCCUUCCUCAGGCCACGAAGGUCCUUUAGGGAAAAGGACUCAGUAUUGGCCUCUGAUCUUGUACCAGUUGCUUUGACUUCUGAUUUUAUGUCAGCAGGCAUUGAGGGUCCCUCUCCUGCAUUAUCAUCAUCAUCGUCAUCAUCCACUGGUCGAUUGGUCUUUUCUGUGCGCUUCCCACUUCUUGUGCUCGUAGCAACAGCCAUUGGUUGAGGCUUGGCUGCUGAGUCUGGUUUAGCUGCUGGCCUAGGCUCACUGUCUGGUUUAGCUGCUAGCCUAGGCUCACUGUCUGGUUUAGCUGCUAGCCCAGGCUCACUGUCUGGUUUAGCUGCUGGCUUUGAGCCGGGGGUGUUGGCUGCAGCCUGAGUGACUGGGAUAGCUGCUGAUUUAUCUCCCUGCCCCCCUUCCUCUGUCUGCUGCCCUACAGUAUCUAGCAGGGUGCGAUAAGCAUAUGCCAGGGCCCAGCUCACUGCAAUGAUCUUUUUCUCCUUCGAGUUAUCAUGGCACUUCUCUUUCAAGUACUUCACCACCUCAGCCAGAUUCUGAAUUUGUUCACUAGGAAAGUCCCAGGCUAUAGGGUCAGAAAAUUCCUUUAAGAUUUGGCCCAUAUCCUCCCAUUUCCCACACCACUCGGGAUUUCUCACACCUGGGUCUACUCCUGGGUCAGAGGUCUCAUCAGCCUCCCUAGAAAUCUCAGCCCUCAUUCUAGAGAGACUGCAGACUGUAUAGAGAAAGCUUACCAGAUUAAACACCAGGAAGAUGGUCUCCUUAACAGUCAGGGGAAACUGAACAUUCUCUAAUAGGGAGGUAACAAAUUCAGAGGAGAAGAAGGAAAGCAAAGGCUGAAAAGCCUCAUCCCCUACUUCCCCUCUAACAAACUGGCUGCACAACCAUAACCAUGAACCAUACAUUCCAGGAACAGACCUCAGCACCUUUAUAAACCCUCUGGAAGCUAUUACAGCCAAGCACAGCCCGAUGGAUAUUCUGGUCAGUGCCCUUCUACUGCAAAACCUAUGUAUUAGGGACAAUACUGGAGCUAUUCCUGGAUAAAAAAAUAAACCUAGGGACCAUAGGGGGAUUAAGAUCUCAAAAACCCCUAGGGACCAGAGACACAUGCAGGCCUUCACCCCAAGAGACAAUAUUAAUUCAAACAACAUAACCAGUAACUGCUCCAUACCCAGACAAAAUAAUUGGAACAAAAAUAUGAUUACAACAGGGUUUUUUCCACUCUCUCGAGCCCCGAGUUGGGCGCCAAAAUAUUUGUCCUAGUUUAGGGCAAAUUUGGGGAAAACCCUCUGAAAGGAGCCCCCAGGAAAUAAACCCCCACGGUCCCUCCUCACCCACCUGGUUCAGGGAAAAAUUUCCUCUGAGAGAGAAGUGGAAAAGAACCUGUUUAUUCAACAACAAAGCACUCCCCAGCACCAAAACAAUUAACAACACCAGAUGACAACAAAACUCUUUCACCCCUCUGAAGAGAUGAACAAAUCCAGAAAGUCUUUCCUGGGAGUGGUCGCCCGGGUCUGGACGCUGGGGAUUGCUCUCCAGCACUGGGGAUGGCUGCUGCAGAUCACAAAAUGCAGGCUCCUGGUGUUCCUUGGUGUUUCCCAGAUCCCAGUCCAGAGCAGGUUGGAUGGUAUUCAGGAAGAGGAAAGGAAAAA